GCAGUCGCAACCAUUUAAUUUGAAAAAGGAAUGCUCCCGUUUUUCGCCGUUAAAUGUUGCAGCCUAAUUUUGGAUCGAGAAUUAAGUGCGACGAAGAUGGCCGUUAAUAAUAGUUCUACUACUUUAAGAACACGAUUCAGAUUUGGAUAACGACUUCGAAGGCAUUCGCAGGAGACCAAACAGAGAAAGAGAGGGAGACACAAAACCACCUGUCUCGGUGUCACACAUGAGGAGUUGAGGAGGAGAUGAAGUCAGUGAAUAUGACCUGGCCUGGGGGAGUUUCCAGAAGAAGGCCCAGAAUCGCUGGAUGCCAGGAGUGGAGAUCCUUCGUUGCUGCCCUACAUGAUAGGCGGCAUCGGGCAGUAGAUGCUGUAAUUUGAAACGGAAGGUGUCCUGCCAAUAAAUUUUCAUCCCACCUGAACUGCCUUGCCUGCCUGCACCCAGUCAUCUGUUCCUGAGCAUUUUCAUUUUCCUCUAUUUUUCAUCAUCGUUUGUUUCGGCCUGUAUGAAGUGAAUUUCACAUUGAUUGGUGGAGCUGCUAAGUUGGCAUUACAGGGCCACGCCGGGGUAUGAUCCUUUGGGUUGAACAUCAUGACUGCUAGUUGGUCGGCAAAGGUGAUGGGAUCGAUCAAUGUCACAUGGAGUAAGAUCGAUACCAAUCUGCUUUGCUACAUUUCGAACAAUCUCAUACGGAUACGGAUAUUAUUGCGACAGGAGUACUGCUCGAUGUGGUCAAGCCUAUUUGACAAAGCAUUAUGGUGUUAGUCAUGUUAUCAGAAACCGAUUUUUCAAAAUCACGGAGUUGCUUCAAUUAAGUAUCGAUAGAUAUUUCAAGAACGUGUAGACUAGUGAGCUUUUCAUCAAGAAUUUCACGCAAUUUAUUUUCGCGCUUAUCCAUGUCAUCAUUGAGUUUUUGUCUCUCGCGUUCCAUUGCCACGGCCACCGCUCUUUGAACGACUGUAUCAAUAUGAUCUAGGUAUGCUGGGCUUUGUUUAGAUCCAGUUAAUGAUGAAGCAGAGGAUUGUGUACAUGCGUUAGCCGAGUGCAAGCGGCCUCUUGAUCUGGUGGAUAUCUUAGACAUGUUAGAGAUUACGUAAUGAUAUAAUUGAAAAGUGGGAUGGGCUGUGCAUCUGCCAACUCACCAGUCAACCAAUUAGAGACGGCCUUCCAAAGUGACACAGCACGAAAAUAUCAAUAUGGGACUGGUCUAGUCAACACAUAGAUCCUGAAAAAACCAUGGAGACCGCAGACGCAAAAUGAAUUCCAUACAUAAAGAUAUGAUGCACAAUCUCCAGUGGGUUCAAAACACUGAACACAUGCUAUGCUGAUACACAGACUAUCAUAAGAACUUUAUCAAGCUAAGGAAAUCUGGUAUGAAAUCUCUCAGCUCACAUAAAAAGCCUACGUAGCUACAUGUAGGGAAGAAAAUGCGUAAUUGCUGAGAAAUGAGCAAAAUAAGCAUGUAAUUCUAUCAAAUGUCAGGUAUUUUUCUAAUCGAUUAUAAUACACUGUCCCACAUAUGCUUUUCUGUGUUUACAGCGAUCGUCAGAAUUAUCGAUUUUAAGUUUAAAAAUUAAUGAUUUUACAAAGAUACAAGUUUACAUUAAUGUACCAGAUGUAGAUUAUGUACAAUAUAUUGACAAUUAACUUUGAUUUUAUAGAUUUUCUCAAGAAAUAAUUGUUUGCUGCAACUACUGUCUUUUCCUUCUAAGUGAUAGUGUAAUACAACAGUUCCACAAACUAUUUUCAUCAGACUUAUUGAUGCAUGAUUCUUUCACCCAAAUGCAAGCUUCCAUAAAUCCUGAAAACUUUGCAACUCAGGUAUUUUUUUUUUUACAUACAGUAUAUUUUUUCCUACAUUACAUAGUUGCCUUAAGUUAAUAGCGCACCUCUAGUAGUAACUAUCUUAAAAUGAGUUCGAACAGAAUCCAACAGAAUUACCAGCAAAGUGUAUGUAUAUAUAAAAGAUGUGUGCCAAAAAGCUUGGGAAGAAAAUGUGUAAUUGCUGAGAAAUGAGCAAAAUAAGCAUGUAAUUCUAUCAAAUGUCGGGUAUUUUUAAAAUCAAUCAUAAUACACUGUCCUGUCCCACAUAUGCUUUUCUGUGUUAGUGAUCAUCAGAAUUAUUGAUUUUAAGAUCAAAAUUCAUGAUUUUACAAAGAUACAAGUUUACAUUAAUUUACCAGGGCCCCGUCUUACAAAGAGUUAUGAUUGAUCCGAUCAAUCGCAACUAUGGACGGUCAGCAACGUUAACAUCUAUUAAGCAUGUUCAAAAUAUUUUCUAGCUAUGAUGUAUGUUCAUGCAUUCAUUGUUUUCUCAAAAAUUCGCUGCGUUUCUCUUUGCAUACAAAGGACAUUGUGCAAAUUUUUCGUAGAAAAAAAUUAUGACACUGAUGGAUUUCCAUAGAGUUAUGAUUGAUCGGAUCAAUCGUAACUCUUUGUAAGACAGGGCCCAGGGGUCCGUUGCAGAAAGAGUUGCGCUUAAACGCAAGUCAAAAAAUCAAUCGCAAGUCCCAAAUGCGCGCUGUUGAUUGGUUGAAAAUCAAGUUGCGCAUGAUUUUUAGAGUUGCGAUUGAUUGCAACUCUUUCUGCAACGGGUCCCAGAUCUAGAUUAUGUACAAUAUUUUGACAAUUAACCUUAAUUUAAAAGACUUUCCGAAGAAAUAAUUGUUUGCUGCAACUACUGUCUUUUACCCCUGGCCCUAAGUGAUAGUGUAAUACAACCCAAACAUUUCAUAAGAAUUAAUGUACAUGUAUGAUUCUUUCACCCAAAUGCGAGCUUCCAUAAAUCCUGAAACUAUUCCAACUCGGGUAUUUUUUUUUUACAUACAGUAUAUUUUUACCUACAUUACAUAGUUGUCUAAAGUUGAAGGUAUAUUUAAUUACAAUUUCAACGAAAAAGCUUUAUUCUUGGAGAUCAUUAUGCCUCUGUUAUGUAUUAAUGUGUAUUUAUACAUGUACAAUUGUAUGUAUUGGUAUAACAAACAUUGUAAUUUCAUUCCUUUGACCCUAAUACUGCAUUUUCAUAGAAAAGUGUUUUUUUUUUCAAUCUAUUUAGAGUUUUCAACAUUUUGUAUUCCUUUUUUUUUUUGCUGGUGAUAUGUUAUGCAACUUUUAUUUAUUAAUAGAAUAUUUGCCACGAUUUCG